AAUCAACGCUGGCGGCGUGCCUAACACAUGCAAGUCGAACGAGAAAGGGGACUUCGGUCCCUGAGUACAGUGGCGCACGGGUGAGUAACACGUGACUUAUCUACCCUCGAGUGGGGAAUAACUUCGGGAAACCGAGGCUAAUACCGCAUAAUACCCACGGGUCAAAGGAGCAAUUCGCUUGAGGAGGGGGUCGCGGCCGAUUAGUUAGUUGGCGGGGUAAUGGCCCACCAAGACAGUGAUCGGUAUCCGGCCUGAGAGGGCGCACGGACACACUGGAACUGAAACACGGUCCAGACUCCUACGGGAGGCAGCAGUGGGGAAUUUUGCGCAAUGGGGGAAACCCUGACGCAGCAACGCCGCGUGGAGGAUGAAGUCUCUUGGGACGUAAACUCCUUUCGAUCGGGACGAUUAUGACGGUACCGGAAGAAGAAGCCCCGGCUAACUUCGUG
rnacentral:rRNA from 1 species